rnacentral:rRNA from 1 species
UCGAGCGCCCCGCAAGGGGAGCGGCAGACGGGUGAGUAACACGUGGGAACGUACCUUUCGGUUCGGGACAACCCAGGGAAACUUGGGCUAAUACCGGAUACGCCCUUCGGGGGAAAGAUUUAUCGCCGAAAGAUCGGCCCGCGUCCGAUUAGCUAGUUGGUGAGGUAACGGCUCACCAAGGCGACGAUCGGUAGCUGGUCUGAGAGGAUGAUCAGCCACAUUGGGACUGAGACACGGCCCAA